rnacentral:tRNA from 1 species
UCCCGAUGUUGUUCGGGUGGGUGGCGGGUUUCAAAUCGGUUUGCCGUGGCUUGGCUGGCGACGCUGGUUCCAUUUCGGUAUCGGGGCC